rnacentral:lncRNA from 1 species
GGCCAUUGCAAAAUGCAUACCAUCGCAUGGACCUCUGUGAGAGCCAUGCUACAAAGUUGAGAAUGGAUAUUUUAAAUUACCGGUGACAAAAAAAAUGGAUAUUUUCACCUUCACAAACGGAACGAAACAGAAUUGAUUCAGUUUUACCAUUUACAGCGCACAAUUCGAUCCUUCGAUGGCAGUGACCAGAUUUGGUUAUUUAGUUAGCUGUAUCUAA